AUGUACCAUUUUUUGGUCAGAAUCUUUACAGUAAUGUCUAUGUUGGAUUCUCCGGUCGAAAUACGGGAAAACUCCAUCAAAGUCUUUAUGGAAACGGAGUUUUGCGAAUUCUCCCCGGAACUGGAAGAUCAUUUCGAGAUCUUCGAGCAUAUUCGAGGGUUCAAUGUGACUAUUGUCACUUCGGCCAAUACAAAAGAUGAGACUUUACUACUGUGGAGCGGCUUUUUGCUAAAAGAUGAGGGGGAAACUAAGUAA
rnacentral:rRNA from 1 species